rnacentral:rRNA from 1 species
AGACUUACCUGCAGUCGAACGGCAGCACGGGUGCUUGCACCUGGUGGCGAGUGGCGAACGGGUGAGUAAUACAUCGGAACAUGUCCUGUAGUGGGGGAUAGCCCGGCGAAAGCCGGAUUAAUACCGCAUACAAUCCACGGAUGAAAGCGGGGGACCUUCGGGCCUCGCGCUAUAGGGUUGGCCGAUGGCUGAUUAGCUAGUUGGUGGGGUAAAGGCCUACCAAAGCAACCAUCACUAGCUGGUCUGAAAGGACGACCAGCCACACUGGGACUGAGACACGGCCCACACUCCUACGGGAGGCAGCAGUGGGGAAUUUUGGACAAUGGGCGAAAGCCUGAUCCAUCAAUGCCGCGUGUGUGAAGAACGCCUUCUGGUUGUAAAGCACUUUUGUCCGGAAAGAAAUCCUUGGCUCUAAUACAGUCGGGGGAUGACGGUACCGGAAAAAUAAGCACCGGCUAACUACCUGCCACCACCCGCGGUAAUACGUAGGGUGCAAGCGUUAAUCGGAAUUACUGGGCGUAAAGCGUGCGCAGGCGGUUUGCUAAGACCGAUGUGAAAUCCCCGGGCUCAACCUGGGAACUGCAUUGGUGACUGGCAGGCUAGAGUAUGGCAGAGGGGGGUAGAAUUCCACGUGUAGCAGUGAAAUGCGUAUAGAUGUGAAGGAAUACCGAUGGCGAAGGCAGCCCCCUGGGCCAAUACUGACGCUCAUGCACGAAAGCGUGGGGAGCAAACAAGAUUACAUACCCUGGUAGUCCACGCACUAACGAUGUCAACUAUUUGUUGGGGAUUCCAUCUCCCUUAGCUACGUAACUACGCAUGUAAGAUUGACCGCCUGGGGAGGUACGUCGAUGAUAUAACUCAAGGAUUGACGGCGACCCCCACCCAGCCGAUGCAUGAAAGUUUUAAUUUAUUUCAUG